AUUGAACGCUGGCGGCAGGCCUAACACAUGCAAGUCGAACGAGUGGCGGACGGGUGAGUAAUGUCUGGGAAACUGCCUGAUGGAGGGGGAUAACUACUGGAAACGGUAGCUAAUACCGCAUACCAUCGGAUGUGCCCAGAUGGGAUUAGCUAGUAGGUGGGGUAAAGGCUCACCUAGGCGACUAUCCCUAGCUGGUCUGAGAGGAUGACCAGAAAGACUGGAACUGAGACACGGUACAGACUCCUACGGGAGGCAGAAGUGGGGAAUAUUGCACAAUGGGCGCAAGCCUGAUGCAGCCAUGCCGCGUUGAUGAAGAAGGCCUUCGGGUUGUAAAGUACUUUAAGCGGGGAGGCGUUACCCGCAGAAGAAGCACCGGCUAACUCCGUGCCAGCCGCCGCGGUAAUAC
rnacentral:rRNA from 1 species